rnacentral:rRNA from 1 species
GACGAACGCUGGCGGCGUGCUUAACACAUGCAAGUCGAACGGAAAGGCCCUGCUUUUGUGGGGUGCUCGAGUGGCGAACGGGUGAGUAACACGUGAGUAACCUGCCCUUUACUUUGGGAUAACUUCAGGAAACUGGGGCUAAUACCGGAUAUGAGCUCCUGCUGCAUGGUGGGGGUUGGAAAGUUUCGGCGGUUGGGGAUGGACUCGCGGCUUAUCAGCUUGUUGGUGGGGUAGUGGCUUACCAAGGCUUUGAUGGGUAGCCGGCCUGAGAGGGUGACCGGCCACAUUGGGACUGAGAUACGGCCCAGACUCCUACGGGAGGCAGCAGUGGGGAAUAUUGCACAAUGGGCGGAAGCCUGAUGCAGCAACGCCGCGUGCGGGAUGACGGCCUUCGGGUUGUAAACCGCUUUCGCCUGUGACGAAGCGUGAGUGACGGUAAUGGGUAAAGAAGCACCGGCUAACUACGUG